rnacentral:lncRNA from 1 species
CAUAUUACUCAGUGCUUUUUAAUAGAAGAAAGCAGAAUUAAAACCAUCAAUUACGCAGCUGUGUUAAAAGAAACACACUUCAGAGAGGAGCUUUAGGUCUGUGCUGCAGCACAUUUAAACAGACACAGGUCACCCUGUGAUCAUGGAGGUCAAAUUAAAAACAGAAAUAAACCAAACUAGAGAACAACAACUCACAGGCUCUUCAAUGCUUUAAAAAAAGAGAAGUCUUAAAGUUGUGUUUAAAGUCCACCAGAAUACAGUAGACCUGGUUUCCGUCCCUACAACCAAACUGGAUGAAUUAUUGACCGCCGCGUUCUCCAGCUGGGACACAGGGAGGCGUCCUACAAAUCCACAACAUGGCAAAUAAUGGCCAGAGAAUCGGUUCCGCAGCUGCUGGGGCUCCUUGUUGGGAAGGUGACAGCUAUUCAGACCAACAUCUGGAUUGCUGCACACUGCAGGUUUCUGGUUGGGGCUGGAAGACGCACCGGGUCGCUGACACAAUGUGGAACAUGAUGUCUUUGGAAACCCAGCCCAGAGCGUGCCCCGGGCCCAGGCCCGUCUGCUAAUCGGACCCAGUUUGAUACGGGGCUCAGGGAGGGGGAGGUCGGCAACAUCUCCCCGCAGCUCUGACACCACUUCCUUCAUCUUUCCCCUGCUGUCGCCCCCUUCAGCCAUCACGGGCUGCUCGAGACGGCUGGAGUGAACCAAGUAUGAUGGACUGCAAGCAUCUCUACAAGCACCAGGGGGCAAAGUUUGAGUACCGACGUCCUGACGGCCAGUUCUCAGGGUGCCGAGGUCUUCAGUGGGACCAUCGCUCGUCUCAUUAUGACACACGUCUAACUCUGGUCCAGGAGGUGGUAAUAAAUCAGCCUCUGGUCCAGGAGGAGGUGGUAAUAAACCAGCCUCUGCUCCAGGAGAAGGUGGUAAUAAACCAGCCUCUGGUCCAGGAGGAGGUGGUAAUAAAU